rnacentral:rRNA from 1 species
UACGGAGGGAGCUAGCGUUGUUCGGAAUUACUGGGCGUAAAGCGCGCGUAGGCGGCUUUGUAAGUUAGAGGUGAAAGCCCGGAGCUCAACUCCGGAAUUGCCUUUGAUACUGCAGCGCUUGAAUCCAGGAGAGGUGAGUGGAAUUCCGGGUGUAGAGGUGAAAUUCGUAGAUAUUCGGAAGAACACCAGUGGCGAAGGCGGCUCACUGGACUGUUAUUGACGCUGAGGCGCGAAAGCGUGGGGAUCAAACAGG